rnacentral:rRNA from 1 species
UACGUAGGGGGCAAGCGUUGUCCGGAAUCAUUGGGCGUAAAGCGCGUGUAGGCGGCUCGAUAAGUCUGCUGUUAAAGUCCAGGGCUCAACCCUGGGAUGCCGGUGGAUACUGUCGAGCUCGAGUCCGGAAGAGGAGUGUGGAAUUCCUGGUGUAGCGGUGAAAUGCGCAGAUAUCAGGAGGAACACCAAUGGCGAAGGCAGCACUCUGGGCCGAUUCUGACACUGAGGAGCGAAAGCGUGGGGAGCGAACAGG